UGCUCACUCAUUCACUGAUCUCUAGCGAUUUCCAGAGAAUUUAGACACUGACGUCAAAAUCCUGCGUCACCCAGACGCUGUUUCAUCAAUUCAGACAAUGUCGUCAUAAAUGUUAGUCCUACCUCCUAUCAACAUCUGAGUGAAGACCAGGAGAUCUUUCAGCAGUAGUCUUUAUUGCAGACGUCACAGCGUACUGCUUCGGCUCUGCAGUCAUCAAGUCCAUCUUUAAGAAUUAGCAUAGUUUUUCUUUUUUUUUUACAUCAUCGUGUAAUUUAUGCUGUUACUUAAUGUCUCCUAAAGAUUUUAUACGGUGUAUAUAUGUACGUGUAGUUCACAAAACAGAAUAAUAAAAUAAAACAACUAUUUAAAAAUUA